rnacentral:miRNA from 1 species
AGCCAGCUCCAUAGGCUCGGAGCCGAGCUUCUUAGUAGCUGGAGCUGCCUCUGAGCCUAAGGAGCUGGGCUCCCAGCCUAAAGUGCUCGGCUCCGAGCCUAAGGAGCUGGGCUCCGAGCCUAAGGAGCUGGCUCC